GUCAAACACGCCGGCUUGUGCCCCGAAUCCAACAGCGACACUCUGUACAAGUGCUGAACCGCCGUAUCGGAUUCCGAAGUGGCCAAGUAAUAUCUGCAAGAUAAAAACAUCCUUCAUUGACAUGUGACCGGAAGACGUCGUUUCCGAGAGAAAGAAGCAACCUUGAUUUCUCAUGACGCGCCGAUCUCGUGGUGAAUUCUCCGAUUGUCCGAGUGAAAAUCUUCAAGCGCGCCUAAGCCAGUCUACGUACUGGGGUAGAAGAGCUAAGAAAAUCCCGAAAAAGGGAGAGCUGCGGCAGGAGCUGGAUAUACGUAUGUCAUCAGCGAAGCCCACGGCUGACGGGAACAAAAUACAGGUUGUUGAGAAGUUCUUGGCGCGCCUCGAGCGGUUUGACACUUUAUCGACGACUCUUUCGCGGCUGCUCGACUGUGUAAAAUCGCGAACGACGGCGCCCACGCCAUACACAAGAUGAAACGAUUUCGCAUCGCCUGCGGUUAUUGCGAAAUCGAUUUCUCGCGGCGUAAUAACGCGCAAAUCCUCCCGACACGCGAUUACUUUCAUCGCGACGUUAUUAAAAAAAAAAAAAA